UCCCGGCUCCGAGCCUCCCCUGGGACCCUCGCUGUGAGGGAGGGGGUGGGGGGUGAGGUUCUCCCGCUAGAGACCGCGAACAGAGCUUGGGCUCCAGUCGCAGGGCCGGAGAAGGUUGCGGGCUUGCCCCAAGUCGUUUGGGCCAAGCGGGGAAACAGGAACUUUAGCCUCCAGGCGCUCUCGGAACCCCCACCCCCAUGAACACAAGGGGAGGCAGUUAACCCUUUACCCCCCUUCCCGUUAUCAGAAGGCCAGAGGGCCAGGGACCAGGGUGACCUAAUCUUGGCAAAGUUGCUCCACUCACAGGCCUCUGAGGAGGUCACUCCUGCCCUAAUGCUUUCAGGGCCACCCAGGGAGAGUCACACAUUAGAGCACACAGUGGGUGCUCCCUGGUGAAGGCAACCAACCUGGACUGGGAAUCUUAGGACUGGGGGGGGGUGUCUUUGCCAUUCUACCACCCCAGGAUGCAGACUCGCCUAUAGAAGAGUAUGGGGGUGUUCAGGGGCAAGGAUGGUGGUGUCAGGCAGUGUGGGGCUUAUCCAGCUUCUGCCACUUUGCUGUGUGUCCUCACGUCUCAGGGCCUCAGUCCCCUCCGCCCCAAUAAUGUGGGGAUUAUGAGAGUAUCAUACACACAGGUGGCCCUAAGGACUAAAUGAGAUAAAGCAGGUAAAGGGUUAGCCCAGUUCCUGGCUUAGAGAAGAGCCCAUGCAUCUGAUGAUGGGUAUCCUCAUCCCUGCCAGCGCCUCUUCCAUGUUCUCUCUCAUGGUGUGACCCUGGGCAGGACACUUCCCACUUUCCCAGGGCAUGGGUCUGCCUAACUCUACAAUGGGCAGGAAACUUCAGGAGGCCGAGGGAGCCAGGAGGGCACUGCAGAUCAGGCCGUGCCCUAUUCGUGGGACAUGGGCUGCAGCAUUUUCUUCACUUCUUGGAAGAAGACAGAAAGAAAAAUGAUCUUAACAAGAAAGUGAAGAAAUUAAAAGCCCCAUCACAUUUC